UUUUUCCAGCAUCCGUAGACUAAAGACCAAAUAAUUUCAUGUGUGGUUUAUGCAGAUGCUGACUUCAACCCACUGGAGCUUUUUUUGUUGACUCAUUGCGACGUUUUCCCACAGCUGUGCGCAGGUUAAGCGGCGCCCCGAGUCGCACGGAGGCCAGAGGCUGUGAGAAGAUUUGGACGCCCAGAGGUUUCAUAUGAUGGAGUCUGUCAACUCUGCAACAGUUCUGCUCUUGUGUCAGGAAGCUUAAUCAAGCCUGCAGAGGCUCUUUUCUGGCGCCGAUACCAAACGGGAAAGGGACGACAGUGCUGCUGGAGAGAAUCAAUCAGGAAGUGGCUGUCUUUCAGCUGUGCCAGAGGAGCCGGGCAACUUCCUCAUCCCGUUGCCAAGGUGACGGGAAGCUCAGCCAGCUGGUGCAGCGAGCAGCGGCUUUGAAUGGAGUGGACGGUUGGGAUGGGAGAAACAAUGACAGCCCAGUUUAAAUGUAAACACUUGAAACUGUAUUCAUAGGAAGACUGAACAAAAUGCUAAAUCUAUGCGGGCUUUCUCUGCAUAGCCUAUUUAUGUCCCAGAAUCACAUGCGGUUAGUGAAAAUGUGCAACAGAAAUUUCAUGAGUUUGCAGCAAAUAUAUUGCUUUUUCAGUUGUAUUUAACUUUUAAGUGCAUGAUAUGCAAUUGAAUUAAUUCAAUUUGUUUAAUA